rnacentral:lncRNA from 1 species
CCUGACUGCAGGGGUUAUGUGGAAGUGUGUGUGGCAGCAGGCAGCGGGGAGGGGAGGAACAGGGAAGGGGGGAUAUUGGGAGAAGGAGUCUUUCUAGAAAAAGAAAUCUCACGUUAAAUUCCAGUAAUUGGCCUAAGAUGGAAAUGAUGGAAUGGUGAUAGGGAGAUAUACGGAGAAGAUGGCCAAGAAAUGGGGGAAGUGGGGAGUAACGCAUGCACAUUCCACCUGGUGUGAGCUAAACGU